UGAGGAAUAUUGGUCAAUGGGCGAGAGCCUGAACCAGCCAAGUAGCGUGCAGGAUGACGGCCCUAUGGGUUGUAAACUGCUUUUAUAUGGGAAUAAAGUGAGGGACGUGUCCCUUAUUGCAUGUACCAUACGAAUAAGGACCGGCUAAUUCCGUGCCAGCAGCCGCGGUAAUACGGAAGGUCCAGGCGUUAUCCGGAUUUAUUGGGUUUAACGGGAGCGUAGGCUGUUUGUUAAGCGUGUUGUGAAAUGUAAGAGCUCAACUUUUAGAUUGCAGCGCGAACUGGCAGACUUGAGUGCGCACAACGUAGGCGGAAUUCAUGGUGUAGCGGUGAAAUGCUUAGAUAUCAUGACGAACUCCGAUUGCGAAGGCAGCUUACGGGAGCGCAACUGACGCUAAAGCUCGAAGGUGCGGGUAUCGAACAGG
rnacentral:rRNA from 1 species